rnacentral:rRNA from 1 species
CCUACGGGGUGCAGCAGUGGGGAAUAUUGGACAAUAGGCGAAAGCCUGAUCCAGCCAUGCCGCGUGUGUGAAGAAGGCCUUCGGGUUGUAAAGCACUUUCAGUGGGGAAGAAAGCCUUGGGGCUAAUACCCUCGAGGAAGGACAUCACCCACAGAAGAAGCACCGGCUAACUCCGUGCCAGCAGCCGCGGUAAUACGGAGGGUGCGAGCGUUAAUCGGAAUUACUGGGCGUAAAGCGCGCGUAGGCGGUCUGAUAAGCCGGUUGUGAAAGCCCCGGGCUCAACCUGGGAACGGCAUCCGGAACUGUCAGGCUAGAGGGCAGGAGAGGAAGGUAGAAUUCCCGGUGUAGCGGUGAAAUGCGUAGAGAUCGGGAGGAAUACCAGUGGCGAAGGCGGCCUUCUGGACUGACACUGACGCUGAGGUGCGAAAGCGUGGGUAGCAAACAGGAUUAGAUACCCCAGUAGUC